GAUGAACGCUGGCGGUGCGCCUAAUGCAUGCAAGUCGAGCGACGCACUCCGGAGGGGUAACCCACUGGAAUGACGGAGCGGCGAACGGGUGAGUAACACGUGAGCAACCUGCCCCACAGACCGGGAUAGCCCAGGGAAACCUGGAUUAAUACCGGAUAUCCUCGGAGGACCGCAUGGUCCAUUGAGGAAAUGCCUUUGUGCUGUGGGAUGGGCUCGCGACUUAUCAGUUAGUUGGUGGGUAACGGCCUACCAAGACAAUGACGAGUAGCUGGUCUGAGAGGACGAUCAGCCACACUGGGACUGAGACACGGCCCAGACUCCUACGGGAGGCAGCAGCAGGGAAUCUUGCGCAAUGGGCGAAAGCCUGACGCAGCGACACCGCGUGGGGGAUGAAGGCCUUCGGGUUGUAAACUCCUGUCAGAGGUGAAGAAAGCCCUUUCGGGGGCCUGACGGUAACCUCAGAGGAAGCCCCGGCUAACUACGUG
rnacentral:rRNA from 1 species